rnacentral:lncRNA from 14 species
GAGGAGUUCACACUGCAGUGUGCCUGGUGUGUUUCUGGACUGCAGGAGAGUGUCACGCAAUGAACUUCUGUCCAUCACUUUUGUAUGAAACGUUUCAUCGAGGUUUGGAAAGCCAGGUUUGGAAAAAUAUCCACAUGACAGAGUGGAAAGUGCUGGGAGUGUCCACCACAAUGCACAAGCAGGUUCCCUACAGAAAUGUAGGCAGGUACCAAGCCUACUCAGCUAACAGGAAGAAGCAACUCAUGUCUAGCAAGUACACCCAAAGCCUCCGUCAAAAAUAG